rnacentral:rRNA from 1 species
AACGUAGGUGGCGAGCGUUAUCCGGAUUUACUGGGCGUAAAGGGUGUGCAGGCGGGUGAACAAGUUGGUGUAUGAAAGGUUUACGGCUCAACCGGAGAUAGGUUAUGCCAGACUGUUUACCGUAGGAGUGUGAGAGAGGGGACGUGGAAUUCCGGGUGUAGUGGUGAAAUGCGUAGAGAUCCGGAGGAACCCAGAGGCGAAGGCGGCGAUCCGUGGCUCGACAACUGACGCUCAUACACGACAGCAUGGGGGAGCGAACGGG